CCGUCCGAGCAUGAAAGUGCUCAUUCCUCGAUCAUCUCUGCAGCCCGCAGCGUUCUGCUCAGUCCCUCCAUCGCCAUGAUGGACUUAAGGGUCACGAUUCACUUCCUCCUGGAAACUCGCCUUUAUUGAGACAGGAGUUUUAAGAUGGAAGAUGCUUUGAACUCCAGCAGCUGCAGAGUGGAGCAGGAUUUGCUCUCGGUCCCGGAGGUCCACCUUAAAGCAACGGGGAGGGAUUAGCCGCGGCAGCUUUGGCCAAGAUGCCCUCUGACCGGUUCUCCUGUCGCAGGCUGGAUCUCACUUCUCAUGUUUGAUAUCUCCUCGCUCCACGGCUGAACCAGGAGUUGUUCAGGCCCUCCUUCGUGAACGCCAUCUCAAAGCUCUUAUUUCUGCCCCGAGGAGCGAGGAUGGAGGAGGGAUCUCUGAGGGAGCUACGAGCGAGGAUACAAAUUCACGUGACGCAUUCAGAGGUGCUGCCGGCUGCGCGGGGAGAAGAUGAAAAGUGCGGAGCGUCGGCGGUUUCUGGUGCUCGGGCCUGGAUGAGCUCGGCUCCCUGUUUGGAAGACGACUGCUGCACCCUACAGUUUAAAAGCCGUCCCUCACUCUGUCUGCCUCAGCCUGCAAAACACUGCUCAGCCCUCUGUCUCUCUCUCGCCACAAUCUGAAUCAGACUUAUUACCAGGUUAAGUAGCACUUACUUCAUUUGCUUUGGUUUGGUGUAUACAUGUAAAGAUAUUAAAACAUGAAUAUGAAAUAAACAAACACUAAAUACAGAAACAAAUAACACACAA